CCUACGGGGCGCAGCAGUGAGGAAUAUUGGUCAAUGGACGAGAGUCUGAACCAGCCAAGUAGCGUGAAGGAUGACUGCCCUAUGGGUUGUAAACUUCUUUUAUAUGGGAAUAAAAUGUUCCACGUGUGGGAUUUUGUAUGUACCAUAUGAAUAAGGAUCGGCUAACUCCGUGCCAGCAGCCGCGGUAAUACGGAGGAUCCGAGCGUUAUCCGGAUUUAUUGGGUUUAAAGGGAGCGUAGGUGGAUUGUUAAGUCAGUUGUGAAAGUUUGCGGCUCAACCGUAAAAUUGCAGUUGAAACUGGCAGUCUUGAGUACAGUAGAGGUGGGCGGAAUUCGUGGUGUAGCGGUGAAAUGCUUAGAUAUCACGAAGAACUCCGAUUGCGAAGGCAGUUCACUGGACUGCAACUGAUACUGAGGCUCGAAAGUGUGGGUAUCAAACAGGAUUAGAUACCCCAGUAGUC
rnacentral:rRNA from 1 species